rnacentral:misc_RNA from 1 species
GAUGAAGAACGCAGCGAAAUGCGAUAAGUAAUGCGAAUUGCAGAAUUCAGCGAGUCAUCGAAUCUUUGAACGCACCUUGCACCCUUUGGCAUUCCGAAGGGUAUGCUCGUUUGAGUGUCAUUGUACUCUCACACUCUCCGAUCCUAUGGAUUCGGGGAGCGGUGGACUUGGGUGUUGCUGCCUUUCCCUGUGGCUCACCUCAAAUGCGUCAGUGCACCUCUUGGUUGGACAUAGUACGGCGUGAUAAGUGUCUUCGCCGGCACCUCGCAAGAGGGUGGCCGAUCGGGAGCUCUGCGCUUUCAAACCGUCUUCGGACAAUUUCUGACAUCUUGACCUCAAAUCGAGUAGGACUACCCGCUGAACUUAAGCAUAUCAAUAAGCGGAGGA